AAUGAGAAAUUGCUAGUAAAUUAUUGUUGGCUUGCCUGACAGUGGUGUUCGGCACCAUCACGACCCUUAGUGGAUAGCGAAUAAGGUCAAGAAGGGGUUAAGAAUGGUAUGCUCAAUGGACAUAUCUCUCUUGAUAAUUUGAAGACUUUGUUAUUGUAGAAUAAAGGUAUGUAUUUGUACUUCUAGUAGAUUUUCAGUGUUGUAUAUUUUCAUAUAGUUAGUAUUUGUGUUGAAGCUAACGACCACUUUCGUUUCUUUAUUUUCGUGGCCUGAAUCUGAUUUCUUAAAUAAAAAACUCUUUGUCGUCGAGGUGUAUGACAAAAUACUUCAAUGAAUUAGAUUGUGUCUUUGGUUUCUUAUGCAUCCUUCGGAGGUAACAUAGAAAAUAGAAAAUUAUGAAUGCAUGUAUAUCAUAUUGUCAACAGCGGAGAGCCGAAUGUUUGACACGGUUAACAUCUGUAAUUCUUUACACCUUUUUCCUUUCUCCUUUUUCACCAUGCAGCAUGAGAGAUUAAAAUUAUAGAGAAAAACUUUGACGAGUUAUUGUUGCAACUAUGUGGAUUUUCUGUCUUUCAUUUUUUUUUACGAAUGAAAUAAACUGAUAUUACCCAA